GAUGAACGCUGGCGGCGUGCCUAAUACAUGCAAGUCGAGCGAACAGACGAGGAGCUUGCUCCUCUGACGUUAGCGGCGGACGGGUGAGUAACACGUGGAUAACCUACCUAUAAGACUGGGAUAACUUCGGGAAACCGGAGCUAAUACCGGAUAAUAUAUUGAACCGCAUGGUUCCAUAGUGAAAGACGGUUUUGCUGUCCCACAUAGAUGGAUCCGCGCCGCAUUAGCUAGUUGGUAAGGUAACGGCUUACCAAGGGAACGAUGAGUACCCGACCUGAAGGGUUGAUCGCCCACACUGGAACGGAGACACGGUCAGGACUCCUACGGAGGGCGGCAGAGGGGAACCUUCCGCAUUGAGCGAAGGCCUGACGGACCAACGCCGCGGGGGGAAUGAAGGUCUCGGGAUCUUAAGCCUCGGUUAAUAGGAAAGAACAGUUGUGUAAGUAACUAUUCACGUCGUGACGGUACCUAAUCAGAAAGCCACGGCUAACUACGUG
rnacentral:rRNA from 1 species